rnacentral:lncRNA from 1 species
CUGAUGAUCCCCAGUCCCAGAUGCCCACAUGCCCUUCAGGAGGGAGCAGCUACAGGAUGAAUGAGCUGAGUUGUGUUGCUGAGGAGACCCCUACCCACCCACUGAUUAGUUUAAAGAUAGCUUCCCUUCCUCCUCCUCCUCUCCCUCCUCCUCCUCCUUCUCCUCUCCCUCCUCCUCCUCUCCCUCCUCCUCCUUCUCCUCUUCUGCCUCCUCCUUCUCCUCUCCCUCCUCCUCCUCCUCCCCCUCCUCCUCCUUCUCCUCUCCCUCCUCCUCCUUCUCCUCUCCCUCCUCCUCCUUCUCCUCUCCCGCCUCCUCCUUCUACUUCUUCUUUGUUGUUGUUGUUUUGUUUUGUUUUUCCGAGACAGGGUUUCUCUGUAUAGUCCUGGCUGUCCUGGAACUCACUUUGUAGACUAGGCUGGCCUCGAACUCAGAAAUCCGCCUGCCUCUGCCUCCCAAGUGCUGGGAUUAAAGGUGUGCACCACCACUGCCCAGCCCUUCUUCUACUUCUCCUUCUCCUCCUCCUUCUGUUCUCCCUCUUCCUCUUCCUCCUCCUCCUCUUCUCCUCCUCCUCCUCCUCUUCCUCCUUUUCUCCUUCCUCCUCCUCCCCCUCUUCCUCCUCUUUCUUCUACUUCUCUCCUCCUCCUCUUACUCCUCCUCCUCCUCCUCCUUCUUCUUCUCUCCUUCUCCUCCUCCCCCUGCUCCCCCUGGUCCCCCUCCUCCUCCCCCUCUCCUGAGGUUUUAAUGUAUUCUAAGGGCUGUGGAGCUAAGGGUAGGAGCUGCUGCUUUAUGACUUUAUGUUCUGCUUCUGCUGAGAGACCUGUGGAUAUCUGACUCAACGUAGUUGGCUUCAUUCCGUGCAGGUUGCUACCUCCCUGGCGAUCACACGGUCAUCAUAGUCAUUACUAGCACCCUCACCUUCAGCUCCCAAGGCUAUACCACAUAUUCAAAUCCUGGAGGUCUCAAACGGACUCACUUUGCCUCUGCCUUCACAUGCACAGAUCUUGGGUCAGAUGGACCUUUGGAACCAAACCUGUUCACCUUGAAAGAGGGUGAGCCUAUGGGACUUCCCCAAAGGAGCUCUAGGCUCCCCAGGACAUUCCAUUGCUCUACCUGGGUGGCAUUUGGGUACUUCAAGUGCCAGGGCCUUGGUGACAUGACCCAGCAGUCUCUUCUAACACUACAGGAUCAGCAAUUAAGCUCAUACUUAACAGAUAUGGAG